rnacentral:rRNA from 1 species
UACGUAGGGACCGAGCGUUGUCCGGAAUCAUUGGGCGUAAAGAGCGUGUAGGCGGCCACUUAAGUCCUGCGUGAAAUCUUGCGGCUCAACCGCAAGCGGUCGUGGGAAACUGGGUGGCUAGAGUGCGGGAGAGGUGAGUGGAAUUCCUGGUGUAGCGGUGGAAUGCGCAGAUAUCAGGAAGAACACCCGUGGCGAAGGCGGCUCUCUGGAACGCAACUGACGCUGAGGCGCGAAAGCGUGGGGAGCAAACAGG